GCCUCAAGGGAUCGCCGAGAGCACCCGGAGGCCGCCACCCCGAUUGCGAGCAGCUGCCGCGGCGUGGGCGGGGCGAGCAGGAGCAGCGGCCACCCCCCACUCUUCCAUAGGCAGCUCCAAGGCAGCGAGAGCCACCAGUGUAUGGGGCAGCAAGCAGGGGCCGGUGCGGCACUGCGCCUCGGAGGGCGCAGGGAGGGGGCCCCCACGGUAGGGAGGGACGGUCCGCGGGCCAAGCCGGAGGCAGAAUUCCUAUUUGAAGUGGAUGACCUGGCCACAUGCGAAGCAUCUUCUCAAAGCCUGUCCCUGCUAGGAUUUAGGCUGCAACACAGAUGAAAAUACACUGAAUUUCACCUCUUGAGGCUGAAGCUAGGGGAACAACUGGACACAGAAUGGGCACUGGCAACUCCACCAUGUAAAUAAGAACGUUGGACCAGGUCCAUGUAUUCUUACAUUUAGCUUCAGCCUAAACAAACAAGACAGAACUUUCACUAGUGCUACUUAAUACAUUAGUAAAUCCUGUUGACAUAAUAAAAUCCAUUCUUACCUAAGAGCUUGGCAAGGUAUAUAAAAACCAUAGUGUCUAUAUUAACAGCGUGUAGAGUAUAAUACAAAUAAACAGGAAAUGACUUCUUGUGUCAAUACUAUGAUUUUAUUUAAUACUGUUUUAUAUGUAAAAAAAAUAAUUAAAAAAGUGGUUCUGCCUAUGUGUAUUUAUAUAA